UACGUAGGGUGCAAGCGUUGUCCGGAAUUAUUGGGCGUAAAGAGCUCGUAGGCGGUCUGUCGCGUCUGCUGUGAAAUCUCAGGGCUUAACCCUGAGCUUGCAGUGGGUACGGGCAGACUAGAGUGCGGUAGGGGAGACUGGAAUUCCUGGUGUAGCGGUGAAAUGCGCAGAUAUCAGGAAGAACACCCGUGGCUAAGGCGGCUCUCUAGUACGGUAACUUGGACGCUGAGACGCGAAAGCGUGGGGAGCGAACAGG
rnacentral:rRNA from 1 species